rnacentral:rRNA from 1 species
UACGUAGGGUGCAAGCGUUGUCCGGAAUUAUUGGGCGUAAAGAGCUCGUAGGCGGUUUGUCGCGUCGAAUGUGAAAACCCGGGGCUCAACUCCGGGCCUGCAUUCGAUACGGGCAGACUAGAGUUCGGUAGGGGAGACUGGAAUUCCUGGUGUAGCGGUGAAAUGCGCAGAUAUCAGGAGGAACACCGGUGGCGAAGGCGGGUCUCUGGGCCGAUACUGACGCUGAGGAGCGAAAGCGUGGGGAGAGAACAGG